UACGAAGGGGGCUAGCGUUGCUCGGAAUCACUGGGCGUAAAGGGUGCGUAGGCGGGUCUUUAAGUCAGGGGUGAAAUCCUGGAGCUCAACUCCAGAACUGCCUUUGAUACUGAGGAUCUUGGAGUUCGGGAGAGGUGAGUGGAACUGCGAGUGUAGAGGUGAAAUUCGUAGAUAUUCGCAAGAACACCAGUGGCGAAGGCGGCUCACUGGCCCGGUACUGACGCUGAGGUGCGAAAGCGUGGGGAGCAAACAGG
rnacentral:rRNA from 1 species